rnacentral:rRNA from 1 species
GACGAAGGAUGCAAGCGUUAUCCGGAUUCAUUGGGUUUAAAGGGAGCGUAGGCGGCCUGGUAGGUCAGUGGUGAAAUCUCGCAGCUUAACUGCGAAACUGCCAUUAAUACUGCUAGGCUAGAGUACAGAUGCUGUGGGCGGAAUAUGACAUGUAGUGGUGAAAUACAUAGAGAUGUCAUAGAACACCGAUUGCGAAGGCAGCUCACAAAACUGUAACUGACGCUGAGGCUCGAAAGUGUGGGGAUCAAACAGG